UACGAGGGGGGCAAGCGUUGUUCGGAAUUAUUGGGCGUAAAGGGCGCGUAGGCGGGCCCUCAAGUCCGGGGUGAAAUCCUCCCGCUUAACGGGAGAAGAGCCUCGGAGACUGAGGGCCUCGAGGGAGGUAGGGGCGUGCGGAACUAUGGGUGGAGCGGUGAAAUGCAUUGAUAUCCAUAGGAACUCCGGUGGCGAAGGCGGCACGCUGGACCUCUUCUGACGCUGAGGCGCGAAAGCCAGGGGAGCAAACGGG
rnacentral:rRNA from 1 species